rnacentral:rRNA from 1 species
AACGCUAGCUACAGGCUUAACACAUGCAAGUCGAGGGGAAACGAUAUUGGAAGCUUGCUUCCGAUAGGCGUCGACCGGCGCACGGGUGAGUAACGCGUAUCCAACCUGCCCACCACUUGGGGAUAACCUUGCGAAAGUAAGACUAAUACCCAAUGAUAUCUCUAGAAGACAUCUGAAAGAGAUUAAAGAUUUAUCGGUGAUGGAUGGGGAUGCGUCUGAUUAGCUUGUUGGCGGGGUAACGGCCCACCAAGGCUACGAUCAGUAGGGGUUCUGAGAGGAAGGUCCCCCACAUUGGAACUGAGACACGGUCCAAACUCCUACGGGAGGCAGCAGUGAGGAAUAUUGGUCAAUGGGCGAGAGCCUGAACCAGCCAAGUAGCGUGCAGGAUGACGGCCCUAUGGGUUGUAAACUGCUUUUAUAAGGGAAUAAAGUGAGCCUCGUGAGGCUUUUUGUAUGUACCUUAUGAAUAAGGACCGGCUAAUUCCGUGCCAGCAGCCGCGGUAAUACGGAAGGUCCGGGCGUUAUCCGGAUGUAUUGGGUUUAAAGGGAGCGUAGGCGGACGCUUAAGUCAGUUGUGAAAGUUUGCGGCUCAACCGUAAAAUUGCAGUUGAUACUGGGUGUCUUGAGUACAGUAGAGGCAGGCGGAAUUCGUGGUGUAGCGGUGAAAUGCUUAGAUAUCACGAAGAACUCCGAUUG